UAACACACAAAUUGAUGAGGGAUCUCUUGAUUGGAGCAUCCAUGGACUUUCGGAUACAGCGUUGAGGCUGGAGAAUGUGCAUAUAAGCCCAGUGGAUAGGCAUAUUAAAACUUAUGGUUGAGGAAA